UACAGAGGUGGCAAGCGUUGUUCGGAAUUACUGGGCGUAAAGGGUGCGUAGGCGGCUUGUUAAGUCAGGAGUGAAAGUUUGCGGCUCAACCGUAAAAUUGCUUUUGAUACUGGCAGGCUAGAAUUAGGAUGAGGUUAGCGGAAUGUGGCAUGUAGCGGUGAAAUGCAUAGAUAUGCCAUAGAACACCAAUUGCGAAGGCAGCUGGCUAGACCUAUAUUGACGCUGAGGCACGAAAGCGUGGGGAGCGAACAGG
rnacentral:rRNA from 1 species